rnacentral:lncRNA from 1 species
UGCUAGUGUCCCAUAUGGGUGCUGGCUGGUUCAUGUCCCGGCUGCUCCACUUCUGAUCCAGCCCCCUGCUAAUGGCCUGGGAAAGCAGAGGAACUUGGGCCCCUGCCAUCUACAUGGGAGACCUGGAAGAAGCUCCUGGCCCCUGGCUUCAGACCGACCCAGAUCCAUCCUUACAGUCAUUUGGGGAGUGCACCAAUGGAUGGGAGAUUUCUCUCUCUCUCUCUCCCUCUCGCUCUCCCUCUCUCUCUCCACCUCCCUCCCUCUCUCUCUGUAACUACCUUUCAAACAAAUAAAUAAUUCUUUUUUAACAACAAAAAUUAUUUUUAAACAACCACCACCCAAUUAAAAAAAAAAAAAACCAGAGUGAUAAAAGAGAAGAGAUUAAAUGGGAACUUGAAAACGAAGGCCUUUGUGGGAGGCUGGCUUUUGGCCUAGUGAUUGAGACACGUAUGUCCCACAUCAGAGGGCCUGUGUUGGUUCCUGACUGUGGCUGCUGACUCCAGCUUCCUGCUAAUGCAGACCAUGGGAGGCGGGGGUCAGGGCUCAAACAGGUGGAUUCCAGCCACCCACAUGGGAGACCUGGAUUGAGUUCCCUUGUGUGACCCAGCAAAUGGAAUCUCUCCCUCCCUCCCUCCUCUCCUUCUCCUCCUUCUUCUUUUCUCUCUCUCUCUCUCUCUCUCUGAAAUAAGAAGGAGGAGGAGGCAGCGGUGGCUGCUGGGGACCCUGGAAAGCAUGGCGUGAGUAGAACGGCCCAGGAAGGGAGGAGACUGGAAGGCCCGAAUCGGACUUGGGUGCAAAAUCAGACGCGUGGUGAUAGAGAGAAUCACAGUGCCUUGACAUACGGGCCAAGAAAUGAUGUGUCUCGGCAACAGGAGAGGGCCAGAUCCUGACGACGCACUUGAACACCAGCCCCUCGCCUGCCCCAGGCUUCCCAUCUGCAGCCCAGGAAGUGUGGCACUGCAUAAGCCCCACGCGAGCCGCGCUCCGUCAUCCCCACGACAUCCUGCACCACCAUGGCACCGGCAGCCGUUGUGGUCAAAACCUGUGCUGCAGUUGUCUUUCCCACGAAUUUUUUUUUUUUUCCCUAGCCACAAAGUUAACAAGAAACAAGCGAAGCGUAGCUCGGGCCCACCUGCGCUCAGCACCGCACAAGCCGAGUCCCAGGCACAAGACAGUGAACAACGCGCCAAAACUGAGUUAGCCGGGAAGGUGAGGCAAGAUGCUGAACUGCCCAUGGGACGGAGCACAGACCAGGGGACCCAGCAGUGUCGCCCACCUGUGACCUUCUCGGGCAGCUGGCUCUCGUGCUAAUGUGAGUCUGGGACAGAGAGUUGGAGGUGGGGUGUGGGGGGCCACUCAUCACAAGACCCCUUUCCUGGGCCUCAGUAGGCCAGCAUUUUUGUCUUGCCACCGUCUUUCAAUACUUACUGACUAAUUUCCAUGGUAAGGUACCUACUAGAAUAUUUUCAGCUAAUACCAGAAUACUCAACUAAAAGUGGCCUUCGUGGUAAGGAUGAUUUCAGAGCUAAUUUAACAGUGUUCCAAGACAUGAGUUUCCUGAGUUGGGGCGGGAACUCAGCACUGUCGUAAAAACCCUUUCCCUGAGAUCUUCGUCAUGUUGACGCCAGCCCCCACGGGCACAAUGUGGCUGCCACAGCUCUGCAUCUCCUCCGUCCCUGACAAUGUCCAAACUUUCCCAGAAGGCUCCUGCACACUUCCAUUGAAAUCCCAUUGCUCAAGACUGGGUCACAUGUGCUUGUCCCAGCUCCAACUGAGGCUGGGGAGGUGAACGCUUUGCAUUUGCUAUCUCUAUAAUGGGAAAAGGGGGAGCUGGAAUGUGAACACACAUCCUCAGUGAUAACAGGGGAAAGUCGGGAUGGCAGCCUACAUGAAUUCUGCCAUACACACGUGGCAGGCACUAUUCCAAGGGACUACCCCCUUGGCUCACUUCAUCCCAAAGAUGCUUCCACAGAGUUAGCAUUACUGCUGUCCCAUUUUUCAGGAAAAGAAACCAAGGCUCUGAGAGAUCUGGAAAACUUGUCCCUGGUCUCAUGGUCAGGAAACCCCUUCUCAGUCUUCCGGAGGCCAAGGGCAGUGAGACUGCUCUCUCUUUUUUUUUUUUUAAAGAUAGAUAGAUUUAUUUAUUUAUUUAUUUAUUUAUUACACAGAGAGAGGUCUUCCAUUUGUUGGUUCACUCCCCAAUUGGCCGCAACAGCAGGAGCUGCACCAAUCUGAAGCCAGGAGCUUCUUCCGGGUCUCCCACCCAGGUGCAGGGGCUCAAGCAUUUGGGCCAUCUUCUACUGCUCUCCCAGGCCAUAGCAGAGAGCUGGAUCAGAAGUGGAAUGGACAGGACUUGAACCGGCGUCCUUACAGGAUGCCAGCACCACAGGUGGUAGCUUUACCCGUUGUGCCACAGCACCGGCCCCGGCGCUCUUGACCUCAGACUCACAGUCUGGAGGAAGGCCCAGGCUGGGAAAUAAAUCAGUGCACAUUUCGAAGUGAGCA